GGUGUGAACACCUGGAUGUCUGACUUUUGGGAUUCAGCCCUUCCUAAGAAUGUUCCAGAGGCAAGGACAUCGGUGGGGAAGAGGCCAUGGUUUUCGUUUCAGAGCUAUUCAGGGAUAUUUGAGGAGAGGCUAUCCGUGUUAUGUUCGCUUCAUUCAUCAUGAAUAAUACAUGGUUAACCUCUUUUUGAAUAUCAAACUCUGCCUCGGAGGGCCGCCCACACAAGAGACGUGAGCGUGCGUGCCUGGUGUGAGCCGGGGCCCAUCCUGAGCAUCCUAAGGCAUGCUUCCUGGCAGGGAGGCCGGCGGUGGGAAGAGCCCAGGGUCGCUUUGCGGUGUUCUUGCAGUGGACUUGCUGUGCUUUUUUUGGUUUGUACAAAGUCCCCCCUCCCCCCUCCCCUUCAAUGCCGACCCACCUUGGGGUGUGGGUGCGAGGCAGGGUCAGCUCAAGAGAUGGGGCGUCUGUGUGGCCAUCACUGCAGGGCUGGUCCGUGAAUGCCUGGCCAGGGGAACCUACCCCCGGGGCUGGCGCUCUCGGCCCUCCGCCUCCCCACCCAGCCCUUUGCAGGCUGGCCUCCUGGAGGCCACGCUGCCCCCCUGGGUAGCAUGUGCUUUCCACGCCAUCGGGCUGCUCAAGGAGAAGUUCCUUCUUUCAAGAGGACUUCUCUGGGGGCAGUCGGCUUCAAGGGGCAGAUCCCAGCUCAGCUGGCCCCCUGGACACAGGGCCACCGUUUCUCCAGGUGGACUUCCACGAGACACCGGCACCAGAGCCAUAAGGUCUCCUGUGCCGCUGCCGGGGGCUCGGGGAGACCGGCUCUGUCCCCGUGCUCACCGUGAAGACCCCGUGGCCUCUCUUCCUCCCGCGGGACGCAGAGCUCUGCUCCCCGCACGCGGUGUUCAGUCUGGGAGGAGAACGCCCGUCUCAGAACCUCCCCUCGCUGUGGGGGAGGGAGGCCGGCUCGGACCCCAAAUUUGGUGGCGUGUCACCGGAGCGCCAGCGUCAUCAGGGUCUCAUCCGUACCACGGGUGA
rnacentral:lncRNA from 1 species